CCCCCCGGCCCGGGAUAGCCCAGGGAAACCUGGAUUAAUACCGGAUGAGACGGGACCCGCGGAUGGCGGGACCCGGGAAAGGCGCUGCGGCGCCGCCGGGGGGAUGAGUCUGCGUCCCAUUAGCUAGACGGCGGGGUAACGGCCCACCGUGGCCGACGAUGGGUAGCCGGCCUGAGAGGGUGGACGGCCACAUUGGAACUGAGACACGGUCCAGACUCCUACGGGAGGCAGCAGCUAAGAAUCUUCCGCAAUGGGCGAAAGCCUGACGGAGCCGACGCCGCGUGAACGAAGAAGGCCGUGAGGUUGUAAAGUUCUUUUCGGGAGGGGAACAACCGUGGCAGGGAAUGGCCGCGGGAUGACGUGAAUCCCGGAAUAAGCCCCGGCUAACUACGUGCCAGCCGCAGC
rnacentral:rRNA from 1 species